rnacentral:lncRNA from 1 species
GAAAGAUGAUGACCUCUCCAUGAAACAAAAUGAAAAUGAUCUAUCACAGAUAACUCUCAGCCAACAUGCUGAUGGGCCUCUCAAGCAGAUACAAGAGACAGGGUACAACUAUGCAAUGACCCUACAACUGCUGGGCUUGGAAGACGGCACUGACCCCAGUGAUAGGAAUCCUGUUCUGAUGAGAGGGGCCUACUUGUCCUUUC